rnacentral:tmRNA from 1 species
GGGGACGACAGGCUUCGACGUGGUCGGUUCCGCAGGGGAUGUUGCGAGCCGAGGUUCCGGAGGCCUCGUAAAAAACCGGGAAAAAAAUAAGUGCGGAGUCUCACGACUUCCGUCUCGCUGCUUAGCACAAACUAAGCCGCAGACCUUGGCCCUCGAUACCUGCGACGAGAUAAGCCGAGUCAACUAGCGGGUGUACUUCACAAAGGGCCCGUCUUCGCCCGAGUGAAGGAAAUCCAAGAAGGCUGGUUCUCCCCAACCCCGCCGGCGUUGGCGAGGGGAGAGCGAGAUUUAGAGCGCCGGAUACGCUCGUAGAGGCAUUCCAUUGCGCGAUUGCGGACGCGGGUUCAAUUCCCGCCGUCUCCACCU